AUAAGCGGAGGAAAAGAAACCAACAGGGAUUGCCCUAGUAACGGCGAGUGAAGCGGCAACAGCUCAAAUUUGAAAUCUGGCUCUUUCAGAGUCCGAGUUGUAAUUUGCAGAGGGCGCUUUGGCGUUGGUAGCGGUCCAAGUUCCUUGGAACAGGACGUCACAGAGGGUGAGAAUCCCGUACGUGGUCGCCAACCUUCGCCGUGUAAAGCCCCUUCGACGAGUCGAGUUGUUUGGGAAUGCAGCUCUAAAUGGGAGGUAAAUUUCUUCUAAAGCUAAAUACUGGCCAGAGACCGAUAGCGCACAAGUAGAGUGAUCGAAAGAUGAAAAGCACUUUGGAAAGAGAGUCAAAUAGCACGUGAAAUUGUUGAAAGGGAAGCGCUUGCAGCCAGACUUGCCUGUAGUUGCUUAUCCGGACUCUUGUCCGGUGCACUCUUCUGUAGGCAGGCCAGCAUCAGUUUGGGCGGUUGGAUAAAGGUCUCUGUCACGUACCUCUCUUCGGGGAGGCCUUAUAGGGGAGACGAAAUGCAACCAGCCUGGACUGAGGUCCGCGCAUCUGCUAGGAUGCUGGCGUAAUGGCUGUAAGCG
rnacentral:rRNA from 1 species